CUGCCCCAAAAUGGAAGUGACAUUAGCACUCCCCUUGAUAAAGAUGGAAGAGGUCCUAGUGGCCUUUACAACAUAUAUAUGGCUAAGGCAUUUCCACAGUACUCUGUGGCAUCUAACCAAUAUUUCAC